GGCGGUCAAUUAAGUCAGAGGUGAAAUCCCAUAGCUUAACUAUGGAACUGCCUUUGAUACUGGUUGACUUGAGUCAUAUGGAAGUAGAUAGAAUGUGUAGUGUAGCGGUGAAAUGCAUAGAUAUUACACAGAAUACCGAUUGCGAAGGCAGUCUACUACGUAUGUACUGACGCUCAUAGACGAAAGCGUGGGGAGCGAACAGGAUUAGAUACCCUGGUAGUCCACGCCGUAAACGAUGGAUACUAGUUGUUGGGAUUUAUCUCAGUGACUAAGCGAAAGUGAUAAGUAUCCCACCUGGGGAGUACGGUCGCA
rnacentral:rRNA from 1 species